GACAGAGGGUGCAAACGUUGUUCGGAAUUACUGGGCGUAAAGCGCGUGUAGGCGGCUCGGCAAGUCGGGUGUGAAAGCCCUGGGCUUAACCUAGGAAGUGCACCCGAAACUGCCAAGCUUGAGUUCUGGAGAGGAAGGCGGAAUUCUCGGUGUAGAGGUGAAAUUCGUAGAUAUCGAGAGGAACACCGGUGGCGAAGGCGGCCUUCUGGACAGCAACUGACGCUGAGACGCGAAAGCGUGGGGAGCAAACAGG
rnacentral:rRNA from 1 species